GGCGGUGGCGGCUAUGGUGGCGGCGGAUAUGGUGGUGGACGUGGUGGUGGUGGAGGCUAUGGUGGCGGCGGAUAUAGUGGAUAUGGCAAGUAAAAAAGAACAGUACAAGAAGAAGCAGCUACAUUCCACUAACAACAUAUUUGGAAUUAUCUCUUAUUUUUAUCAAUAGACUGUGACGCCUCUUGUAAAUAAAGUUACAAUAUAAAUCCCA